UGUUUGUAGAUGACAAUUUAAUUACAUAAGUAAUAAUCAUAAGAUCUCAGUUUCUCCUGCUUCUCAUAUCCUCACUCUGCACCAAAAGGCACUAGUUAAUUUGCAAGGAGGAACCCCCACACACACACUAGAAGAUUAGAUCAGCUAAAUUUUUUAAAGUGAAUCUAUUUAAUUUUGAGAUUUAUGUUUCAAAUAAGACAUUAUAUUUGAGCAUGCUGAGAUGUUAAAUAUUUCUCUGAGCAUAAGUGAUUGUGAAGUUAUGAGCAUCUGUAGCAAUGCCACACAUCGCCUGAAGAGGGCGACUGAUCUACAUGACUGCGUGAGCGCGCUCUGUUUACAGAGAGAGAGAAACAUGAGUCUACAUGCAUGCACUCAAGCGCAUCAUAUGUACAUGAUGGCCUCAUGUUCUCUUUCUGCUUUCUGCUUAUUGUUUGGAAGGAGCUGCCUUUCUGUUUGAGUCAGAUUCAUUACUCAGAGCUUCACAGAGCAGGAACAUCUGGAGCUGUGUCAGGCAGCAGAGAGUUUUUAUGUGCCUAAAUAUGCUGCCAGACUGCAAGGCCUCAUUGCUUACAGCCCAUAAUAUGACCGAUAUUUGGUCUCAACAGCACAAUACAGCAAACACAUCUAGUGUGCGGUGAACUUUUGGCUCAUUCAAAUGGAUGUUGCAAACCAUGAACCAGCUGCUUUCAUAAAUCACAGCCAUAAUUGGAGGAGGCAUAUGAAGGCAUCACAUGAAUGUUCCAGACUGUUCUAGAAGUUCCAGGAAAAAGAGCCCCAGAGGUUUUCCGAACACCAAAAAGGACAGAGAGCGAGAAAGACAGAGUCUCUGAGGACAUGGGGGUGACCCUGGGGGAAGUGGCACUGAGAUACAGCUGCAAGACCGAGUCCCUGAGCUCCUGGACUCAUUCACACACAAGCACUUACAGCCACAUGCACAAAAUUGCCAUUUACUGUGAAAAUUCUGCUCUUUCUGACACAUUCCAGCCUAACGUGCUCUGCUGUCUCCAAUCACAGACGCCUCGGCUGUCUCAUGGGAUAGUGCUCUGUCAGUUUGUUUUCUGGAAAAGGACUGCAAGUGAGAAGUCAUGCUAAAGUAUGAGAUUAGACUUAGACUACAGUGUCAAAAAGAUUUUUCAAAAGUUAUUGUAGUAUAUCGUUGAGUCAUUGAAUCAUUUAUUCAACACAUUCAGCCAGAAACAGUUCAUAAGAAUAGGUCGUUGAAUCAUUCACUCAAUUGAUUUGCUCAAAAAUGCAGAUUAAUUCAGUGACCAGACCCCACUGUUUAGAGAUGUACAAUUCUGAUGUGCUUUAUUUGGAACUACUUUUGUUGGUGAAAAACACACUGUAAAUUCAAAAAUUCAAUUUGAAAAUUUGAAAAAAAAAAAAUAUAUAUAUAUAUUUUAUUGUAAACAAAACAAAGGUUAUUGGAGUCUGUUUUACAAGAAAAUGCUGUUUUAAUCUUUCUACUUGUAAAUUUCACACACAUCGCUUUGGAAUUAUUUGUCAAUUGUUCUAGCAAUUUCCGAGGUAAAAUUAAGUUAAUAAAAAAUAAAUAAACCUAGAAUGCA
ensembl:lncRNA